CACACACACACACACACACACACACACUUUGCAUUAGCAGCUCAUGCUUCAGUGCUCUGAGAGACUUUAUAGCUCUGUGACUUUAACACUUCAUGACUGAAAGCUGCUGCUCAGCGACUUCACCCACAGCAACCAUGAGUUUGAUCAUCAUUUUCAUCUGCACACUGGCCCUCUGCACUCGAGGAUCCAGAGCUCAGACUGUGACUCAGAGUCCUGCAGUAAAAUCUGUUUCUCCAGGAGGCACGCUCACCAUCAGCUGUAAAACCAGUGUUGAAGUUUAUUCUAACUGUUUCUUCUGGUACCAGCAGAAACCUGGAGAAGCUCCUAAACUCUUGAUUAAAUAUAUUAGCACUAGAGAAUCAGGAAUUCCAGAUCGUUUCAGUGGCAGUGGAUCUGGAUCUGAUUUCACUCUGACCAUCAGUAGAGUCCAGACUGACGAUGCCGCAGAUUAUUACUGUAUGUAUGUACCUAAUGUCAGUGGCUGGAUGUUCACACAGUGUUUUAUCACCGUACAAAAACCUCAGUGAGUGUGACUGCUGCAGCUGGGACCUUCUGCAGGUGCUGAGGGGGAUUUACAGUACAAUGACUCCCUCUAGACUGAGUCUUGCAGCUACAAUCUAGCAGCAGCAUGGCUGCUCUAAAUGAUUGGUGUAACACAUACAGGAGAUCUAAGGCCUAACAAAGACAGAAAUGUUACAGGACUUUUCUGUAAAUGUUUUUAACAUGGAUGCAUGUAAGUGGAAAAAUCCAGGUUGUGAAUCAUUCAUCACGCUGAAAACAACCGGGCAUGAAAAAACACACUUCACCUGUGUUCUGAGCUGCACGGCAUCGGGAGAAAA